GACGAACGCUGGCGGCGUGCUUAACACAUGCAAGUCGAGCGGAAAGGCCUUUUGGGGUACUCGAGCGGCGAACGGGUGAGUAACACGUGAGUAAUCUGCCCAUCACUCUGGGAUAGCCAUCGGAAACGGUGAUUAAUACUGGAUAUGAGAUCUGGCCGCAUGGUUGGGUUUGGAAAGUUUUUCGGUGAUGGAUGUGCUCGCGGCCUAUCAGCUUGUUGGUGGGGUAAGGCCUACCAAGGCUUCGGAC
rnacentral:rRNA from 1 species